rnacentral:rRNA from 1 species
UACGAAGGGUGCAAGCGUUGUCCGGAAUUAUUGGGCGUAAAGAGCUCGUAGGCGGUCUGUCGCGUCGGAUGUGAAAAUCCAGGGCUUAACCCUGGGCCUGCAUUCGAUACGGGCAGACUAGAGUUCGGUAGGGGAGACUGGAAUUCCUGGUGUAGCGGUGAAAUGCGCAGAUAUCAGGAGGAACACCGGUGGCGAAGGCGGGUCUCUAGGCCGACACUGACGCUGAGGAGCGAAAGCGUGGGGAGCGAACAGG